CAGCAGCCGCGGGAAUACGAAGGGGGCUAGCGUUGUUCGGAUUUACUGGGCGUAUAGCGCACGUAGGCGGAUCGAUCAGUCAGGGGUGAAAUCCCAGAGCUCAACUCUGGAACUGCCUUUGAUACUGUCGAUCUGGAGUAUGGAAGAGGUGAGUGGAAUUCCGAGUGUAGAGGUGAAAUUCGUAGAUAUUCGGAGGAACGCCAGUGGCGAAGGCGGCUCACUGGUCCAUUACUGACGCUGAGGUGCGAAAGCGUGGGGAGCAAACAGGAUUAGAUACCCCAGUAGUCCCUGUCUCUUAUAC
rnacentral:rRNA from 1 species